rnacentral:rRNA from 1 species
GACGUAGGGCGCGAGCGUUGUCCGGAUUUAUUGGGCGUAAAGAGCUCGUAGGCGGCUUGUCGCGUCGAAUGUGAAAUCCUGCGGCUCAACUGCAGGCUUGCAUUCGAUACGGGCAGGCUCGAGUUCGGUAGGGGAGACUGGAAUUCCUGGUGUAGCGGUGAAAUGCGCAGAUAUCAGGAGGAACACCGGUGGCGAAGGCGGUGGUCUGGGCCAGUACUGACGCUGAGGAGCGAAAGCGUGGGGGAGCGAACAGG